CACGUAGGGGGCAAGCGUUGUCCGGAUUUAUUGGGCGUAAAGAGCUCGUAGGUGGUUCGGUAAGUCGGGUGUGAAACCUCCAGGCUCAACCUGGAGACGCCACCUGAUACUGCUGUGACUGGAGUCCGGUAGGGGAGCGUGGAAUUCCUGGUGUAGCGGUGAAAUGCGCAGAUAUCAGGAGGAACACCGGUGGCGAAGGCGCCGCUCUGGGCCGAUACUGACGCUGAGGAGCGAAAGCGUGGGGAGCAAACAGG
rnacentral:rRNA from 1 species